AGUGAACGCUGGCGGUAGGCCUAACACAUGCAAGUCGAACGGCAGCACAGUAAGAGCUUGCUCUUACGGGUGGCGAGUGGCGGACGGGUGAGGAAUACAUCGGAAUCUACUUUUUCGUGGGGGAUAACGUAGGGAAACUUACGCUAAUACCGCAUACGACCUACGGGUGAAAGCAGGGGAUCUUCGGACCUUGCGCGAUUGAAUGAGCCGAUGUCGGAUUAGCUAGUUGGCGGGGUAAAGGCCCACCAAGGCGACGAUCCGUAGCUGGUCUGAGAGGAUGAUCAGCCCCACUGGAACUGAGGCACGGUCCAGACUCCUACGGGAGGCAGCAGUGGGGAAUAUUGGACAAUGGGCGCAAGCCUGAUCCAGCCAUACCGCGUGGGUGAAGAAGGCCUUCGGGUUGUAAAGCCCUUUUGUUGGGAAAGAAAAGCAGCAGGUUAAUACCCCGCUGUUCUGACGGUACCCAAAGAAUAAGCACCGGCUAACUUCGU
rnacentral:rRNA from 1 species